rnacentral:rRNA from 1 species
AUUGAACGCUGGCGGCAUGCCUUACACAUGCAAGUCGAACGGUAACAGGUCUUCGGAUGCUGACGAGUGGCGAACGGGUGAGUAAUACAUCGGAACGUGCCUAGUAGUGGGGGAUAACUACUCGAAAGAGUGGCUAAUACCGCAUGAGAUCUACGGACGAAAGCAGGGGAUCGCAAGACCUUGUGCUACUAGAGCGGCCGAUGGCAGAUUAGGUAGUUGGUGGGAUAAAAGCUUACCAAGCCGACGAUCUGUAGCUGGUCUGAGAGGACGAACAGCCACACUGGGACUGAAACACGGCCCAGACUCCUACGGGAGGCAGCAGUGGGGAAUUUUGGACAAUGGGCGAAAGCCUGAUCCAGCAAUGCCGCGUGCAGGAUGAAGGCCUUCGGGUUGUAAACUGCUUUUGUACGGAACGAAAAGCCCAGGGUUAAUACCCUGGGGUCAUGACGGUACCGUAAGAAUAAGCACCGGCUAACUACGUGCCAGCAGCCGCCGCCG